rnacentral:lncRNA from 1 species
UCCCGAUCAAACUCCUACUAUUCGGAGUUUAUAAGUACCCAAUCAAAGUACUUUCGCUAACAACAACCUCGACUAGACAUCGUCUCUCACGAGCCUAUCCUUAUAGUCCAACCAGCCUAAGGUUUACAAGGUCUACUAAGACUCAACCCUAGGCUUCGUACUCAGCCACUGUCCUGUCCCCCUGUCUCAAGUUCCUCAGAUCCCUUUCCAUCUGCCUCUUCACACUCUGUGGAAAAUAGGUAGUCAACAACAACUCCUUGAACCUGUUCCACGUGAUAGCAGACAAAUCAGCACGGGGAUCCUCCCGGAUGUCCACCUACCACCUGUAAGCCUCGCCAUCAAGGUGGUGUGUCGCAAACCAAACUCGGUACCGCUCCUCAACAAAAGUGUCAUAGAAUAGUUUCUCCAUAUGCAUUAACCAUUUUUCAACCACCCAAUGAUCUGCUUUCUCCCCAUCAAAGACACGAGGGUUGCAGCGACGGAAUUCAUUCAGUCGUUCCAUCAUCCGCUCUCGCUCCUCAACCCCCACCAUCUCGGGUAACACUGUCCCAACUGCUGCUACAGGUACUGGUGGUGGUACUACUGUCUCCUGUCGGGUCUCUGCCCUCGGAGCUACUGGGGGUGUAUCGGGUACCGGUGACUGUGCUCUCACUGUGGUGCCCCUCUCUGGUACUAUAGGUACAGAAUCCGGAGGUACAGAACCUGGAAUCUCUCUAUCGGUCGUCUGCCGCAGUAAUAGAUCCUCUAACCUCUUCAUCCUGUCCUCCUGCCGACGCGCAGCGUCUAUCUGCUGUCGUGCUGCCGCGGCCUGCUGAGUAACCAACUCUGUCAACGUCGCAAGCUGAUCCUGCAACUCAUGAAGCUCACUGGACCCCGACGUGACGGAAGUCUCUACCUCUUCCGCAGCGGCCGCCUCAGCCGCCCCGGCGGUUCCAGAACGAGUCGUAGGCAUCUUGAACUGCAACACAAAAACAAACAUAGGUCAAUAAACCCUAUACUACUGAACCCUCAUUGAGGAUAUAAACCAGCUAAUCAAGCGAAAGUAAUGAAAUGUAACGCCUACUAACUUCCGAUGUCACGUUGUCGGCCGCCAACGUGACCCUCUGCAAAGUUAGUACUUGCACAUCCCGAUCAAACUCCUACUAUUCGGAGUUUAUAAGUACCCAAUCAAAGUACUUUCGCUAACAACAACCUCGACUAGACAUCGUCUCUCACGAGCCUAUCCUUAUAGUCCAACCAGCCUAAGGUUUACAAGGUCUACUAAGACUCAACCCUAGGCUCUGAUACCACUAUAAUCUGUCACGCCCGGGUACCAGCGGAAGCAUAUCCGGCACGUGCACAGACCCGCCAUACACCUGCAGUAUAUAAGGCGUCUACAAGAAGCAAGUCGAUAGGAAGUAAAACAAGAAGUCCUAUCCUGAUAUCAGAGCAAAAUACAAGUCGAUAUACAACGAGUAUCAAAUCCAAGUCAAAAUACAAAGAGUAUACAAUC